rnacentral:rRNA from 1 species
CCUCGGAACCGCAUUUGAAACUGGCAGGCUAGAGUACUGUAGAGGGGGGUAGAAUUUCAGGUGUAGCGGUGAAAUGCGUAGAGAUCUGAAGGAAUACCAGUGGCGAAGGCGGCCCCCUUGAACAGAUACUGACACUCAGAUGCGAAAGCGUGGGGAGCAAACAGGAUUAGAUACCCUGGUAGUCCACGCCGUAAACGAUGUCUACUUGGAGGUUGUGGCCUUGAGCCGUGGCUUUCGGAGCUAACGCGUUAAGUAGACCGCCUGGGGAGUACGGUCGCAAGAUUAAAACUCAAAUGAAUUGACGGGGGCCCGCACAAGCGGUGGAGCAUGUGGUUUAAUUCGAUG